CGCCGCGGUUCCACCAAAUCCCCUCGGGAUCCCCUUCUCCUUGUUUUCCUCCACCCCCCAAUAGGAGCCUGAGCCCCUUCUCCCCUUCUCCCCGAGAUCCUCCGUUGUUCCCUGCCCGAGCUCGUCGCCCAUGCCUGCAGCUCCUCGCCGGAGCAGGCAACCGGACCGCAGCCAUGCCUCCUCCUUGUCGCCUCGCCGGAGAUGAGUCCCCGGGAGACACUUUUCGCUCCCUGCCUUUCUCCUUCCUCCUCUAAUCUCUCUCCAUUCCUCGUUUGUUUUCUUCUCUGCCAGGAAACGAACGGGACUCGCCCCUGCUAGCAUCACCGCCGGUGCAAGCUUCUGCACCUCCCGUGCUCGCCAUCGCCUCGCGCUUCCUUCCCCGGCUGUGCCUGGUCGGCCAGUCUCUACUGUCCCGCCUUGCUGCUCGAGCGCCGCUCAGCACCUCCCUGCCCCGACGAGUCCCCGUCGUCCCGAGGCCACCCAUCUCCGUCCGGCCGGCAACGAGCAGUAGCUUGCCGGAGCGCGAGUUCGAUCGGGUUCCCCGCCAAAACUCUUGCCGCCAGUCUUCGAUCUCGGUGGGGAUCAGCGGGAUCCGCGUCACCCUGCUCGUCCCGCCUCCUGCCAGCCUCUCCGACGCCUGCCGGAGCCCUGCAUCGCGCCAAGCGCCGCCGGCGCCCCCAAGUUCCACCGCGCCGCUGCAUCCUCUGCUUUCCCUGCAUGCUGCGACCUCGUGCGCCUGCAUCGCUCCCGAGCGCGUUGACCGCGCCUCCAGCGGCCUCCAAGGCCCAGCCCCAAGCCAGCCGGCCUGUUGGCCCAAUUUCCUGUUUCGUUGCGAUCGUGAGGAUUCGUUCGUCUACGCUUGGUUCGACUUCAUCCGUUCGUCUUCUUCAUGGACUCAUUCUUCUUGCUUGCGGGAUUUCAG